GAUGAACGCUGGCGGCGUGCCUAAUACAUGCAAGUCGAGCGAACAGACGAGGAGCUUGCUCCUCUCACGUUAGCGGCGGACGGGUGAGUAACACGUGGAUAACCUACCUAUAAGACUGGGAUAACUUCGGGAAACCGGAGCUAAUACCGGAUAAUAUAUUGAACCGCAUGGUUCAAUAGUGAAAGACGGUUUUGCUGUCACUUAUAGAUGGAUCCGCGCCGCAUUAGCUAGUUGGUAAGGUAACGGCUUACCAAGGCGACGAUGCGUAGCCGACCUGAGAGGGUGAUCGGCCACACUGGAACUGAGACACGGUCCAGACUCCUACGGGAGGCAGCAGUAGGGAAUCUUCCGCAAUGGGCGAAAGCCUGACGGAGCAACGCCGCGUGAGUGAUGAAGGUCUUCGGAUCGUAAAACUCUGUUAUUAGGGAAGAACAAAUGUGUAAGUAACUAUGCACGUCUUGACGGUACCUAAUCAGAAAGCCACGGCUAACUACGUG
rnacentral:rRNA from 1 species